UAGGGAAUAUUGCGCAAUGGGGGAAACCCUGACGCAGCAACGCCGCGUGAGUGAGGAAGGUCUUCGGAUUGUAAAACUCUGUUCUUAGGGAAAAAUGAUUCAGUGGUUAAUACCCAUUGGAAGUGAUGGUACCUAAGUAGAAAGCACCGGCUAACUUCGUGCCAGCAGCCGCGGUAAUACGAAGGGUGCAAGCGUUGUUCGGAAUCAUUGGGCGUAAAGCGCGCGCAGGCGGAUCAGCAAGUCAGAUGUGAAAUCUCGAGGCUCAACCUCGAAACUGCGUCUGAAACUGCUAGUCUAGAAUGUCGGAGGGGGCAGGGGAAUUUCACGUGUAGGGGUAAAAUCCGUAGAGAUGUGAAGGAACACCGGGGGCGAAGGCGCCUGCCUGGACGACUAUUGACGCUGAGGCGCGAAAGCGUGGGGAGCAAACAGGAUUAGAUACCCCCGUAGUCC
rnacentral:rRNA from 1 species